UACGUAGGGUCCGAGCGUUGUCCGGAAUUAUUGGGCGUAAAGAGCUCGUAGGCGGUUUGUCGCGUCUGCUGUGAAAUCCCGAGGCUCAACCUCGGGCCUGCAGUGGGUACGGGCAGACUGGAGUGCGGUAGGGGAGAAUGGAAUUCCUGGUGUAGUGGUGAAAUGCGUAGAGAUCCGGAGGAACACCAGUGGCGAAGGCGACACGCUGGGCCGUACCUGACGCUAAAGCGCGACAGCAUGGGGAGCAAACGGG
rnacentral:rRNA from 1 species